UACAGAGGUCUCAAGCGUUGUUCGGAUUCAUUGGGCGUAAAGGGUGCGUAGGUGGCAGGGUAAGUCAGGUGUGAAAUCUCGGGGCUCAACCCCGAAACUGCACUUGAUACUGCCUUGCUCGAGUACUGGAGAGGAGAUUGGAAUUUACGGUGUAGCAGUGAAAUGCGUAGAUAUCGUAAGGAAGACCAGUGGCGAAGGCGAAUCUCUGGACAGUUACUGACACUGAGGCACGAAGGCCAGGGGAGCAAACGGG
rnacentral:rRNA from 1 species